GUGCUUGCUUCAGCAGCACAUAUUCUAAAAUUGGAAUGAUACAGAGAAGAUUAGCAUGGGCCCUGUGAAAGGAUGACACACAAAUUCAUGAAGCAUUCCAUAUUUUG
rnacentral:snRNA from 1 species